rnacentral:rRNA from 1 species
AUUGAACGCUGGCGGCAGGCCUAACACAUGCAAGUCGAGCGGAGCGGCGGAUGGGUGAGUAAUGCCUAGGAAUAUGCCUGGUAGUGGUGGAUAACGUCCGGAAACGGGCGCUAAUACCGCAUACUAUCAGAUCAGCCUAGGUCGGAUUAGCUAGGUGGGGGGGUAAAGGCAUACCAAGGCGACGAUCCGUAACUGGUCUGAGAGGAUGAUCAGUCAGACUGGAAAUGAGACAAGGUCCAGACUCCUAAGGGAGGCAGCAGGGGGGAAUAGUGGACAAUGGGCGAAAGCCUGAUCCAGCAAUGCCGCGUGUGUGAAGAAGGUCUUCGGAUUGUAAAGCACUUUAAGUUGGGAGGCGGUACCAACAGAAGAAGCACCGGCUAACUUCGUGCCAGCAGCCGCGGUAAUAC